rnacentral:rRNA from 1 species
UACGAAGGGGGCUAGCGUUGUUCGGAAUUACUGGGCGUAAAGCGCGCGUAGGCGGUUUUGCAAGCCAGAGGUGAAAUGCCUGAGCUCAACUCAGGAAUGGCCUUUGGGACUGCGAGGCUUUGAGGACUGGAGAGGUGAGUGGAAUUCCCAGUGUAGAGGUGAAAUUCGUAGAUAUUGGGAAGAACACCGGUGGCGAAAGCGGCUCACUGGACCUGAUCUGACACUGAGGUGCGAAAGCUAGGGUAGCAAACGGG